rnacentral:rRNA from 1 species
GACGAACGCUGGCGGCGUGCUUAACACAUGCAAGUCGAACGGAAAGGCCCUGCUUUUGUGGGGUGCUCGAGUGGCGAACGGGUGAGUAACACGUGAGUAACCUGCCCUUGACUUUGGGAUAACUUCAGGAAACUGGGGCUAAUACCGGAUAGGAGCUCCUGCUGCAUGGUGGGGGUUGGAAAGAUUCGGCGGUUGGGGAUGGACUCGCGGCUUAUCGGCUUGUUGGUGGGGUAGGGGCUUACCAAGGCUUUGACGGGUAGCCGGCCUGAGAGGGUUACCGGCCACAUUGGGACUGAGAUACGGCCCAGACUCCUACGGGAGGCAGCAGUGGGGAAUAUUGCACAAUGGGCGGAAGCCUGAUGCAGCAACGCCGCGUGCGGGAUAACGGCCUUCGGGUUGUAAACCGCUUUCGCCUGUGACGAAGCGUGAGUGACGGUAAUGGGUAAAGAAGCACCGGCUAACUACGUG